rnacentral:rRNA from 1 species
AGGUCAGGCGGGACUACCCGCUGAGUUUUAAGCAU